UUAAGCGACUAAGCGUACACGGUGGAUGCCCUGGCAGUCAGAGGCGAUGAAGGACGUGCUAAUCUGCGAAAAGCGUCGGUAAGGUGAUAUGAACCGUUAUAGCCGGCGAUGUCCGAAUGGGGAAACCCAGUGCAAUUCGUUGCACUAUCGUUAACUGAAUACAUAGGUUAACGAGGCGAACCGGGGGAACUGAAACAUCUAAGUACCCCGAGGAAAAGAAAUCAACCGAGAUUCCCCCAGUAGCGGCGAGCGAACGGGGAGCAGCCCAGAGUCUGAAUCAGCUUGUGUGUUAGUGGAACGGUCUGGAAAGUCCGACGGUACAGGGUGAUAGUCCCGUACACCAAAAUGCACAGGUUGUGAACUCGAAGAGUAGGGCGGGACACGUGGUAUCCUGUCUGAAUAUGGGGGGACCAUCCUCCAAGGCUAAAUACUCCUGACUGACCGAUAGUGAACCAGUACCGUGAGGGAAAGGCGAAAAGAACCCCGGCGAGGGGAGUGAAAAAGAACCUGAAACCGUGUACGUACAAGCAGUGGGAGCACCUUCGGGUGUGACUGCGUACCUUUUGUAUAAUGGGUCAGCGACUUAUAUUCUGUAGCAAGGUUAACCGUAUAGGGGAGCCGCAGGGAAACCGAGUCUUAACUGGGCGUUAAGUUGCAGGGUAUAGACCCGAAACCCGGUGAUCUAGCCAUGGGCAGGUUGAAGGUUGGGUAACACUAACUGGAGGACCGAACCGACUAAUGUUGAAAAAUUAGCGGAUGACUUGUGGCUGGGGGUGAAAGGCCAAUCAAACCGGGAGAUAGCUGGUUCUCCCCGAAAGCUAUUUAGGUAGCGCCUCGUGAACUCAUCUUCGGGGGUAGAGCACUGUUUCGGCUAGGGGGUCAUCCCGACUUACCAACCCGAUGCAAACUACGAAUACCGAAGAAUGUUAUCACGGGAGACACACGGCGGGUGCUAACGUCCGUCGUGAAGAGGGAAACAACCCAGACCGCCAGCUAAGGUCCCAAAGUCAUGGUUAAGUGGGAAACGAUGUGGGAAGGCACAGACAGCCAGGAUGUUGGCUUAGAAGCAGCCAUCAUUUAAAGAAAGCGUAAUAGCUCACUGGUCGAGUCGGCCUGCGCGGAAGAUGUAACGGGGCUAAACCAUGCACCGAAGCUGCGGCAGCGACACUAUGUGUUGUUGGGUAGGGGAGCGUUCUGUAAGCCUGCGAAGGUGACCUGUGAGGGUUGCUGGAGGUAUCAGAAGUGCGAAUGCUGACAUAAGUAACGAUAAAGCGGGUGAAAAGCCCGCUCGCCGGAAGACCAAGGGUUCCUGUCCAACGUUAAUCGGGGCAGGGUGAGUCGACCCCUAAGGCGAGGCCGAAAGGCGUAGUCGAUGGGAAACAGGUUAAUAUUCCUGUACUUGGUGUUACUGCGAAGGGGGGACGGAGAAGGCUAUGUUAGCCGGGCGACGGUUGUCCCGGUUUAAGCAUGUAGGCUGGUUAUCCAGGCAAAUCCGGAUAAUCAAGGCUGAGGUGUGAUGACGAGGCACUACGGUGCUGAAGUAACAAAUGCCCUGCUUCCAGGAAAAGCCUCUAAGCAUCAGGUAACAUCAAAUCGUACCCCAAACCGACACAGGUGGUCAGGUAGAGAAUACCAAGGCGCUUGAGAGAACUCGGGUGAAGGAACUAGGCAAAAUGGUGCCGUAACUUCGGGAGAAGGCACGCUGGUGUGUAGGUGAAGCCCCUGCGGGUGGAGCUGAGACCAGUCGAAGAUACCAGCUGGCUGCAACUGUUUAUUAAAAACACAGCACUGUGCAAACACGAAAGUGGACGUAUACGGUGUGACGCCUGCCCGGUGCCGGAAGGUUAAUUGAUGGGGUUAUCCGUAAGGAGAAGCUCUUGAUCGAAGCCCCGGUAAACGGCGGCCGUAACUAUAACGGUCCUAAGGUAGCGAAAUUCCUUGUCGGGUAAGUUCCGACCUGCACGAAUGGCGUAAUGAUGGCCAGGCUGUCUCCACCCGAGACUCAGUGAAAUUGAACUCGCUGUGAAGAUGCAGUGUACCCGCGGCAAGACGGAAAGACCCCGUGAACCUUUACUAUAGCUUGACACUGAACAUUGAGCCUUGAUGUGUAGGAUAGGUGGGAGGCUUUGAAGCGUGGACGCCAGUCUGCGUGGAGCCAACCUUGAAAUACCACCCUUUAAUGUUUGAUGUUCUAACGUUGGCCCCUUACCGGGGUUGCGGACAGUGUCUGGUGGGUAGUUUGACUGGGGCGGUCUCCUCCCAAAGCGUAACGGAGGAGCACGAAGGUUAGCUAAUCCUGGUCGGACAUCAGGAGGUUAGUGCAAUGGCAUAAGCUAGCUUGACUGCGAGCGUGACGGCGCGAGCAGGUGCGAAAGCAGGUCAUAGUGAUCCGGUGGUUCUGAAUGGAAGGGCCAUCGCUCAACGGAUAAAAGGUACUCCGGGGAUAACAGGCUGAUACCGCCCAAGAGUUCAUAUCGACGGCGGUGUUUGGCACCUCGAUGUCGGCUCAUCACAUCCUGGGGCUGAAGUAGGUCCCAAGGGUAUGGCUGUUCGCCAUUUAAAGUGGUACGCGAGCUGGGUUUAGAACGUCGUGAGACAGUUCGGUCCCUAUCUGCCGUGGGCGCUGGAGAAUUGAGGGGGGCUGCUCCUAGUACGAGAGGACCGGAGUGGACGCAUCACUGGUGUUCGGGUUGUCAUGCCAAUGGCACUGCCCGGUAGCUAAAUGCGGAAGAGAUAAGUGCUGAAAGCAUCUAAGCACGAAACUUGCCCCGAGAUGAGUUCUCCCUGAGACUUUAAGUCUCCUGAAGGAACGUUAAAGACGAUGACGUUGAUAGGCCGGGUGUGUAAGCGCAGCGAUGCGUUGAGCUAACCGGUACUAAUGAACCGUGAGGCUUAACCUU
rnacentral:rRNA from 1 species